UUUUAAAGGUGCAGGCAGCGGCGGCGGCGGCGCACCGGAGGAUCGUCGCUCCUCUCCACGGAGACGCGCCGCGGCUCUCCGAGUCCGUGCGGGAAUCCGUCCGGGAGAAGAGGAAGCAGCAGCGGCCAGACUGAGACGAAGACAGCGCGCACUGACCCCUCCACAGAUCAACAGGUCGAUGUAGAGUUCUUCAGCGAGCGGCAGAACGCUUCCUCGUCCACCUGCACGCCGUGAGUAACUGUCAGCACGUCGGCCAUCUGCCGCCUCGUUUUCUUCUCGUCUGCGCGCCGCAUUGUGUCGUUUGUCUGAUUGGAGUUCACUGUGUGUAUUUCUGUUUGUCUUUUCCGGAACGUGAGACCCUUUUUUCUGCACGUUCCUGCAUGUGUGAAGAAGUCUGUUACGAGUCGGCGUGCAGGUGUGAAACCCGACGUGGCCCCACCGCCUCGUUAUGUGCGUGACGUUCGUUGGUUUGUGUCGUUUGUUGGGCUGUUUUCUUACAGCGCACGUGUUGUUGCGUGUUUGUCGUGUGUGUGUGUGUGUGUCAUACUUCUUCAAGCAUGAUUUCCUAAGUUUGUAUGUGUGUGUGUGCGUCUGUCUGUACGUAUGUGUGUGUUUAUAAUCCAAGGCCAUUCAAUAGCACCACAUGGAUCCAUCCCAUAUCCUGGUUGCCAUGGUUACCGGGGCCACUUAUCACAGAGGGUCCCGGCAGAUCAAACAGGUGUGCAUCCUGACGAUGUCUCUUCCUCGACGACUGUUGCUAGGAACCUUUGUUGCGCGCAGUGCACAGGUGCUUGUCGCCACCGGUGAAAACCAGCAGGAGCACGACAACAUUGUCUUGAUGUCCCAGACUGAACCGGAGCGUGUUUUUGUACUCGGCGUCCUUGCGAGUGAACAGAGAAAAGAUUUUAUUUUAGUUCUUUUUUUGUCGAAAGGAGGUCAGUUUGUGGGUCAUCAAGUUGCUCCUUCAGGACCUGGUGUCUGGCAGAAGGUCGCAGUUAAACGUUUAAGUCCUUAAAUCGUGUUUUCUGUCUCCACUGAAGUUGGAGGAUUAAAUCAGGAAUCAGUGAAAAUCAGUGCAGCAAAAGCAGACAUUUCCUGUUUAAUGCUCUGUAGCGCAGGUCAAACUUCAACAACACUAAACGCCACCAUUCCCAUGAUGCAGUUCAUCAGUAAACACAACCCUGAAUACAUUAUUUACCAAAAAAAAACCAUCAAAAUUUAGACAGAAUCCAUUAACAGCAGCCCCAAAACAGGAUGCAAACAGACCGACUAAUGCUGUCGCAGAUUCAGAUAUUACUGCGUCCUGAUUGGUGCGCUGAUGACAUCGCCCUUUUUGCAGCUAAGCUCCGCCCCUUUCAAACUUGCAAAAUCACAUCCGAUAAAACAAAAAAAAUCCAAAAAUGUUUCAAAAACUAACUUCUAGGACAGAAUCACUUGUAGAAAGAAGCUAUUUUAUGACGUAAAAGUAAAUCUAAAUGUCUCUUUUAGGAUUAAAACUCCAAAUUAACCCAUUUCUGGUGUGUUUUUGUCUUUGUUCCUAUCACAGUUUUACUCACUUUGGGAUAAUUUUUUCAUUUACUUCAAUAUAAAGUCCUGCACCUCUAUCGAAACAAGACAACCAUGAAUAGAAGUAGUGACAACUCCGAAAUAUCCUCUGUGCAGUUUAACAAGUCAUAAUGCCAACAAUCUUUAAAAAAAUAUCUAAUUUCUUUCAAUAAUUAUUUUUAAAAUUAAAAUAAAAUCAAAUAAUAAAAUAGUUGGAGAAAAAAAAUGUUGUUCUAAAUACUAUAGAUAGUUUUCUACUUACAUUUUUACAACUUCUGCAGACACUUUCCUGCACAUCAACUCUAGAGAGAUGUUUCACCAUGCUGAAUGUAUCUUCCAGCAACUUGCUGCUACAUGCUGCAUUUAUUUUACUGAUCGAUUGUUUUCUCCUGCUCUCAGUCUGUUUAAUUUGUUUCCGUAAUGGUGGAUGUGUAAACACUGCCUGCAGUUCAACUGAAUUUUCACCAAAUUUUUGUUACGUGACUGUUGGUCAAAGCUGAGCAAAUUGUGGCUUCCUGGUUGCGUCAAGAAGCACAAAGUUUUUAGUUUUUUUUUUUAAAACAGAAUCUGGUGCAAAUUGGUUAUUUUUCGGCUAAGUUUUAAUUUAGGUAAUUAGAAUUUGAACAGAAUUUUUGUUCCGUAACUGUCGGUCACAGCAGAGUCACUCAUGACUUUCUGGUUGCGUAAAGGAGCACAGAAAUUUAGUUUUUUAGAGAAUUUGGUGUAAAUUGAUUGUUUUUUUUGGCUAAGUUUGAAUUUAGAUGUGUAGAAUUUUCACUGAAUUGUUGUCAUGGGACUGUUGGUCGCAGUCAAGUCAGUCAUGGUUUUUUAAUAGAUCCAAAGGGCGCAGAAUUUUUAGUUUUUACAGAAUCCAAUGCAAAUUUGUUAUUUUUUGGCUAAGUUUUAAUUUAGAUAUUUAGAAUUUUGUCAUAUGACCGUUAGUCAUAGCUGAGCCACUCAUGACUUCCUGGUUGUGUCGAGGACCACAGAAUUUGGUGCAAGUUGAGGUUUUUUUUGGCUAAGUUUUAAUUUAGAUGUGUAGAAUUUUGACAGAAAUUUGAGCUUUUUUACAGAAUCUGCUGCAAAUAGUUUUUGGGUGAAGCUUUAAUAUAAAUAUUUAGAAUUUUAACAGAAUUUUUGUCUCAUGACUUCCUGGUUGCAUCAAGAAGCACAGGAUUAUUAUUAUUAUUUUUUUUACAGAAUUCAGUGCAAAUGUUGCGUUGAGGAGCAAAUAAUUUUUGGCUAAGUUUUAAUUUGUAAUGUAGUGAUUUUGAUGAAAUAUCAGGAUUUCAAGCUUAGGUUUGGUUAUUUUUUGUAACAGAGCAGCAUGUUACAUGUGAGUACUUUUAGGAAAAUUGAAAAUCCAACGAGUUUUUUUCUGUUUCUACAGUUUGUAGUUCUGAUUAAUGGUGUGAUUUUGGCUAAUUUAAGCUAUUUUAUAAUGUAAAACUAAUGUAAAUGUUUCUUUUUGCAUUAAGACUCCAAAUUUAUUUUCUGUGCCCCAACUCAUUGUAUUUAAUUUUUAAAUUUUUUUUUUUUGUUCCUAUGGCAUUUUUACUCACCCUGGGCUCUUUUUUCACAGCAAUAUAAAGUCCACAAUUUUGAGCUGAGAUUUGGUUAUUUUUUGUAACAGAGCAAAAUGUUACAUAUGAGUAGUUUAGGGAACUUUUUUUUCUGUUUCUACAGUUUGUAGUUUUGAUUAAUGGUGUAAUUUUGUUUAUUUUUUAAAAGAUGAUUUUGAGUUUAAGGUUCAGAGGAUUAAAUUUCUAAUUUCAAAGAUGGCCACCUUCCCUGAGCCUGGUUCUGUCCAAGGGUUUUUUCCCCUCUCCCUAUUCCAGGGAUUUAUGUCGUUCCUUCCCACUGUCACUCAUUAGGAAUCUAAAGGCAUCUUUGGAUUGUUGAGUUUUCUGUUCUCUGUUUAUAACUCAUAAUGUCUGUACCUUACUAUGCUAAGCUAAUCGCUUUGAGAUGAAAAAUGGUGCGAAUCUGCGCUAUAUACAUAAAUGAAACUGAACUGAAUUGAAAUUUGCAUUAAAGCUGCAGAUUUGUUUGCUAGCGCAGGUUUCAGGUUUGGAUUUAGGCAACAGAUGUCGUCAAUGGGCAGAAAAAGGAAAAGUAAAUAGAAAGUGAAGCCUCACGCCUCUCAGCUCCACGUGCUGCACAGGUUCUGCUUUUCAUCCCUCCAGCGUCCACUUUGCUGCAUCCUCAGGAGGUUUCCUGCUGUCGAUAUCCCCUCUUCCUCCAUCUAAUAAACCUGAAAGGACAAACAUAAGCCGGCCCCCGAAAAUUACCCUCACAUCCUAAAUCUCCUCUGGCAUUAACAUACAGCUCUCAUGAUGCGAGCGAAGUCACGUCGGGCUUUAAAACGCGUCUCGUCGCCCGCUGUUUACUUUGCACAUCACUUCCUCCGAUAAUAUUUACGGGAUAAUUAAUAUUGACAGGGAGCAGUCAGUCCUGCUCAGUCAGCUGUUGAAUCUACAAGUAUAAAUCCAUACUGACAAGCGAGUUGCAGUCUGAGUUGCCCUCCACCUGUUUGUGAGUUUAUUUCUGUGUACACAAUUACUGAUGUGAACUCGCCUCGGGUGCGUUUACACCUGCAGCUGAUGUGAUUCUGCUCUACCUGAUUGUGAUAUAAUUAGGUUGUAGUUUGGCGCCAGCUGCAUAAGAGAGUCUUAAAGCAAAGCGGGGAACAAAAUGCGAUCUUUUAAUAAAAGAUUUCUCCCUCUCGGUUCUUUCUUUCUUUUUUUUUUCCUCCCCGAGCUGCUGCUGCUGCUCUUCACUUUUUCCAUAUGUCGCUCAUUUCAGCUUUAAUCCCAACAUAGCACCUUUCCUUCUUCACUCCCCCAUUUCUCUCCUCUCCCUUGCACCUCUCUUACACCACUUCCCUCACCUCUCCUUCCUCAACAACCCUCCUCCACCUCCUCUUCCUCGUCUCCAUCCUCCUCCUCCUCCUCCUCUGUUGUUUCCUUUAACCCAAUAACCUCGGCUCUCCAGAGCUCCCUUCACCUUCCCUGCUGCUCUUCCAGCCAGCAGCCCAUCCAGGCCUCCCGCCCCCACGUCUCCGGCUGCGUCUCCCCCCGCAGCGAGCCCUCGUCUCGGGCCGCCGUGCACAGGAUGCUCCCUCAGCGAGAGGUCAGUGGUCUGGCCGUUUUCUCUGUUCUCCCCUCAGCGCUUCUCCAACCACGACCAGAGAUCACACGGUCUUUCAUUCACUCUUGAAUAGGCUGCCAAAGGGUUAAAUAUAUAUUUAUAUAUCUGAUAUUUUUCAGCUUUUUUCCCUACAAAUGCAUUUUAACUCAUAUUAUGUUUGUAGCUGCAUUUCAUAUCCCUUUGUUUGUUUGAUCCCUUCAGAGAUUUUUACAGGAUUUAUAUCCAUCCUGGUGUGCAUUUGCAGCAUUUUUAAACAUGAGAACAGGCUUCGCACAUUAACUGUGAACCCUUAUAAUUACCACAAAACAAAUCUACAUGAUGAUAGCACACCAGUGGCACUGUUAGUGCUAUUGUUUCUCAAAAUGAAGACCUUUUUUCCGCUGACUGUGACACACAAAUUGGAUGCUGGUUUUCUCACUCUAUUUAUGUCUCUGAGGAGAAUAAACAAAAAUGCAAUGUGGUAUUUUCAAAGUGUUGCUUCAGCCUGAGUGCAUCGAGUUUAUUUGAGAAUAAAACAGAAAAGAGCAAGCGUUUGUAGCAGCAAUUAAUCAUUGUGAAAACUGAAUUUUUAACAUCAGAAUUAGCCUACGUAUUUAGCUAAAAUGCUCAAUAAAAAAUGGUAGUUUUUCGAACAAAGCAAAUGAAAUCUUGAAAAUCAAAAUACGCCUAGCAAACUAGUCAGAGCAUAUUUCCCGCCUUUUUUCUGUUUUUUCUGAAUUAAAUCCAUUUUGAUGGUCAAACAUGCUGAUAUUUGAAUAUGUUACACCAAAUACACGAGGCAACAACUGAAUCUAACCAUAACAAUAAUCAUAAUAAGAAAAAAAACACAUUUAAACUCGCUCUGCUAAAAGCUAACUAACCUAGCAUUUGUUGCUAUUCUUCAAAUUAGACAAGCAAUUAGCUUGCAUAUUUAAAACUGAGUUGAAACCACAAUAUGGGGUGUUAUUUUGCAGUAGAAAUGUGUAACUAAGAAUUGAAAAACAGUAUGUAAAACCAUAAAACUGAGGUAAAAAACUAACUAGAGUGACCAUACAGCUAGCUACUUGUUGCGCACAUUUGCUAAAGUAAAUUUUCCCGCCUUUUCCUUGGUUUUGAAUUAAAUUAGUUCUGAUACUCCAACAUCCUCAUGAUCACAUUUGUUGGACCACAUAAAUUAGCCAGCAACUAAAUUUAACAUAACAUAAUCAUUAGUAAAGAGAAAAACACCAUUUAAACCCACUGUGCUAAACACUAGCGAGCCUAGCUUAGCUGAGUAAUGCUGCUGUCUCUCCAGAUUCUGACUAUAGUUAAUUUCAUGUGAUUAUUUUUAGUCAAGUUACCCUUUUAUUCACAUAUUUCAAAAUGAUUUUAUUAUAAUAUUUACUUGUUCAUGAAAAACGGGAUUAUUUUUGUUGCUGUGUUUUACCUAGCCUAGCUUAGCAGAGUAUCCCUUCUGUGUCUGCAGAAUCAGACUUUAGUGUAAUUCCUGCAAUUAUUGACUAGUUAAAAUACCUUUUUUUUAUCACAGACUUUAAAUAUUUUAAUUAAAUAUUAGCUCGCUAGCAAGAAACAAGAACAAAUUUGUUGUUGUGUUUCAAAUUACAACCGUAACUAGCAUGUUUAUUCAAAACUGAGUUAAAGACACAUCAUGACACAAAAUGAAGUAAUUUUGAGUUAAAAACGGUCUGUAGCAUUGCAAAACUAGAGGUAAAAUAUAAACUACAUUGACCCCACAGCUAGCUAGCUAGCUGCUGCAACUUUAGCUAAAGCAAAUUUUCCAUUUUUUUUCCUUUUAUUUGACAUUGAACUAAAUCAAAUUGAGACCAAAACAUGAUUUAUAUUUUUGUUGUAAAAACGUGUAACAAUAAAUUAAACUACAACAGUUAAAUUGCAAAAAAGUGAUGUGAAAAACUAACUACAGUGAACACAGCCAGUUCUUGGGAGCUUUAGCCAAAGCUCAUUUUUCCCAAAGUUUUCCUGUUAUUGAACAAAAUAAAUUUUCUGCAUGUUCAACUGAGCUUAGACCACAAUGUGAGUUAUUGUUUUGCACUUAAUGUGUUUCACAAUGAAUUAAAAAGUAAAAUAGCAAAAACUGAGGUAAAAUAGAAAAAACUGCAAUUAUGACUCUACUAGCUAGCUGGUGAGAGCCUUAGCUAAAGCAAAUUAUCUUUUCCUGUUAGUAAAUUAAACCAAUUUCAGUGCCCCAAUAUGCCAAAAACUGAGUUUGUCACACCCCACAGUCAAAUGUAAUUACAACAAUAAUCAUACGUAAGAAAACAUUCAAGCUACAUUUAAGCUAGUUCUGCUAAAAGCUAGCCUAGCUUAGUGGUACAGCAGCACUGUCUCCACCGAUUCUGACUUUAGGUUGAUGUUGUUGCGGUUACGUUACCUUUUUAAUCACAAAUCUCAACUGUUUUUAAUUCAAUUUUUGUGUCUUUGCAAAAAACAAUAACAGAGUGCAGUUGGCUGAAUGUAAACUGUUGUUUUAGGUCAUUUAAAGUUUAAAGGUUACUGCUCACUGAUUGACUAUGACAAGCGUUUUAUAGACAGAUAAUGAUAAAAAGGCUACUUAAAUUAAAAUAUCUACACUUAAAGCUGGUAGUAACAGCAAUUUUAGUCCAAUUUAGCAAAACUAAACCAUUCUGGAGUUGCUAACGAGCUUAUAAAUGAUGAUUUUAACUUUAUGUAACAAGAAAAGAUGGAAUAAAUGGAAAUAUUUCCUGAUUAUGUUCAUUCUAUAGGGCUAAUUAAUUGUAAGCCAAUUUAAACACUGUUUUCACUUGUAAAGAGACGAGCCGUAGCAAAAAAAAAAAGACUUAAUUGGUGAACCUAUUAAUUUAACAUUCUUCUUUCUCUUUUUUAAAAAAAUGUACUUUGGCAAAAAAAAUUAAUCACAAUACAAAUUAUCUUCAGAAUUGCUAAUCAUAAUGUACGCCUGUGGCCAGAGGACAGAGAAAUCUGUUCUGUCGCCGAGCGAAUAAUGAAAAUGUGUCAUCUUGGACGAGGACGGCGGACGCGACGGCGCUCUUCAGAGAAUUCCAUUUCCUAAUUCUCUGACAGACGCAGAGGGGGAGCUGAACACAUGUACCUCCCCCUCACAUACACCAAUUACCACAAUGAGCAAAUGAAAGGCUGUGUCCCAUCAGGGCCACCGUAGGGGGUAGAAAGAGAGAUGGGGAUGGGGGAGCUGUACAUAAUUGCCCCCCUCCCACCUCCGUAGACGAACACAUACAUCAGCGACAAUCAUCUGCCGCCGUCAAUAAUCCCACAGUUGUCUGUUGGGCUUCGCAGCAGAUUGGCUCUGCUUGUUUUUUGUUUUUUUUUUACUUUUUAUUUUUCUCUGUCGUUGCCAUUUUACCCACAGAUCCACAGAUUUUUCUUUCCUCCUCCUCCUCAUCAACUGUCACCGUGCUCGGUGACAUUUUCCCUGCCUCGUUUUUUUUCCCCAUCAAUAAUAGCAGUCAAAACAUGUAGAGAGUCUGCCGGGUCAAUCAGUCAUUAUUCAGCCGCACAACAUCCCAAUGAAAGACGUGACUGACUGGCUCUCAAUAACCAUUAGUGCUCAUAUUAAGUUAUUUUUACGUUACGGCAGCGCGAUACUGGAAGAAAACACCGACAUUUUUAGCUUUUCUGCAACAUUACAGAAAAAAAUAUAUAGGAAUUUUUCACCAGAUGUCUUUAUUUGAAAAGGAAUAAUAACUCUGGAAUUGUUGGGAUGAUGUUAUGGUGAAAUAAUAUCAAAAUAAUAUGGAAUAACAUUAGCAAAGGCAUCCAAAAUAGUGUUUUGUUUUCAGAUCUGACUUUGCACUCAUUUAAUUAGUUGCGUUGCCCCAUGUGAUGGCAACUAUUACAAGAAACUCCUGAUGUACCUGUUUAGGUCAACCUCAUCCUUUCAUAAAACCAACUACGUCUGUAACUUUGAAUGUAAAACGGCAGAAAAUGGUGAAUAUGACGUCCUCAAAAGUCUUGUUUUGUCCACAACCCAAAGAUGUUCAGUUUUUUAUAAUACAGGAGUAAAGAAACCAGAAGAUAUUCGCAUUAAUGAAGCUGAAAUCCGAGAAUUUUGACUUUUUUUUUGAUAAAGUACUCUUCAAAUCAAUUAAUUUUGUUGACUGAAAUACAGGAAUAUUCACCAGAUGUCUUUAUUUGGAAGGAAAAUAACUCGAAUGAUUGAGGGGAUAUUUUAGGUAACAAAUAAUAAAAAAUAAUAUGGUUUAACAUUAGCAAAGGCAUCCAAAAUAGUGUUUUCUUUUCAGAUCUGGCUGUGCAUUCAUCAAUGUGAUUAUUGAAAUGGUCAGAUUAGUUGCGUUGCCCCAUGUGGUGGCAACUACUGCAAGACAACUGCUGAAAAAGUUCCUAUUUAUUGGUCAACAUCAUUGGUUCUGUAGCUGAAUUAUAUUUUCAAAUAACUGACAAAGGCUGCGACUAUUGAUUAUUUUCACUGUCAGUUAAUCUGUUGAUCGCUUUCUCCAUCAAUUUUUGAUUUAUUGGUGCAUAAAAUUCCAGAAAAUGGUAAAUACGUCGUCCAGAAGCUAGAAAACAUUCAAAUUUAUGACGCUGGAAUCCAGGAAUUCCAACUUUUUUUUCUAAAAAUAACUCUUCAUAUCGAUUAUUAAACCAAUCUGGGAUUAGUAUCAUUGAUUAAUUGCUGCGUUUCCUAUUUGCAUACAAAUCUUCCCACUUGGACACAUGAAACCUCCAUGUCAACAAACUGUUUCUUGGGAAUUUAGUUAAAUAUCUGCAUAUUCAAGGUUCUAUCUGACUCCUCUUGUAGAUUAGUCAUUAAAAAAAAAAAGAAUAUUCAGGUUACUAUCAAACAGGGGCAAGGAAACCAGAAAAUUUAGACUGUUUUUCAAAAAUUAACCCUUCAAAUAGAUCAUCAGGACAGUUAGUGAUUAAUGUUGUUGACUAACAAUGCAACUGCAACCAAUGAUUAUUGUCACUUCCAUUAUUUUCAUUAGUUGUUUGGUCGAUAAAGUGCUAGACAAUGGUGUAUAUGAUGUCCUCAAAAGUCUUGUUAUGUCCACUACCCAAAUUUUUGAAGCUAGAGUCAGAGACUUUGGACUUUUUGUAGCAAAAUGUAUUGAUUAUUUGGGAUUAUGUCAUUGAUUAAUCAUUGCGUUUCCUUUUUGCGUCCUUCUGCAUGUGAAACCUGCAUGUUGGCAAAAUGUUUCUUUAGAAAAAAGGUAGAAAUCAGCAUAUUCAAGGUUGUAUGUGACUUUUUUUUAAAGAUUAGUCCCGUUAAAAGAAUUAGUUUCUUUUCAUAUCAAGCAGCCAGAAAAACCAGCUAAUUUUCCUCAUUUUCAGUCGUACUGUUGCACAUGGCCACGUCGUACGAGUCGACCGUGAAAAGAUCAGUUGUUCAGGCCUGAUUUCCAUCAUAAUUCUGAUCGUGUUUCAGCUUUGACGCCGCAUUUCCUCUCCUUUUUUUCCGAGCCUGCGCGUGCCCCUGAAAAGAAUGAAACUCUGAAUCUUUUCUAAUUUGCGGCCGCUCGGCGUGCGGCGGAGCGCUGAACCUGGGAGCUGUGAAGUCCACCUGACUGCAUGUUCUCGCUGCGCCACGUGUCUCUGCAGGCUAAUUGAAGUCAACCACAGGGCACCGCUAAUGAUCAGCCCACAGCGACCCUCGACGCUCCGUCAUCUUUCUGUCUGCAGCCCUGCGUGGUAUUUAGAGACGGUCGGAAGGGAAAAUACGAGAGAGAGAGAGAAAAAAAAUAGAAAAAGGUAGAAGUGAUGGUGGUGGUUUUGCGGACAAAUGACCGCCACGCUGUGCAGGAAGUAGCCACGUCCUGCUCUGCUCACUUCCGCUCAGUGGCCAUUAACCAGCGAACCUUUUCACCCCCCGCAGGUUCAAAUAUUCACCCAGCGCUGAAUCGAUAGGAGAGCAGGUGGAGGAGGGAGGACAGGAAGUGAGGAUGAGGUGAGAGGAAGAGGAGGAGGAGGAUGGGUGUGAAGAUGAAGAAACAGAAGGGGAGAGGAAAUACGUGGAAAGAGAGGAGCAUAGAGAAAAAAGAAGAAUUGAGGAUUAGGAAAAGACAAGAAGAGGAGAUGAAAUUAAAGAACAAAAGGUGAAGAAAAAGAUUUAGGAUGAGAGGAAAGAAAAGAAAUAGGAGAGAAAGGUGGAAGAAGACAAAUAAUAAAAGAGGGAGAAAUCGGAGAAAAUAUAAAAGACAAAAGGUGAAAAUUGACCAAAAAAAGGGGGAGAUGAAUGGAAGAAUUGAAGGAUAGAAGAGGAAAGAAAAGAGAAAAAGGAGAAGAAACUGGGGGAAAAAAUUAAAGACAAGAAGAAAAAAGAAGUUGUGGGAAGGAAAAGAAUAAAGGAAAGAAAACGGGAAUAGUAGGAGAAAAGAGGAACGGUAAGAAGAACAAAAGGUUGAAAAUGACAAAGAAGAGGAGAGGAAAGAAAACAGAAGAAACUGAAAGAAAUGAAAGGAGAAUUUAAAAAGAUGGAAAAGGGCAAAGCUGAGGGAAGGAAAGAAAAGAUAGAAGGAGACAUGAAAGGUUAGAAGAGGAAAGAAAAGGAAUAUAGGAGAAAAGAGCAAAAGCAAAAAGGACAAAAGGUUGAAAAGGACAAAGAAGGAGAGAGGAAAGAUGACAAGAGAAACUGAAGGAUAGAAAAUGGAAAAGGAAAAGAAGAAGAAUAGAAGAAACUGGAAAAAAUUAAAAGACAAGAAAGCCAAGGGAUGGAAAGAGCAAGGCUGGGGGAAGGAAAGAAAAGAUUAAAGAAGACAAUUCAGUGUAGAAGAGAAAAGAAAAAGGGAAAAUGGGUGAAGAAAUAUAAAAAAAGAGGAAAGGUAAAGAAAAAACAGAAAUAGUGGAGAGGUAAUUCAAUGAAAAAGAAAUAUAGGACAGAAAAGGAAAGACAAAGAAGAAAAAGGUGGAAAAGGACAACGAUUGGGAAAAGAAAGACAAGCUAAAAAAGGAGAAAUUGAAAGUUAGAAGAGGAAAGAAAAGAGAAGAAACUAAGGUGGAAGAGGGCAAAAUUGGAUGGAAGAAAGAAAAGAUUAAAGGAGAAAUUAAAGGUUAGAAGAGGAAAGAAACUGGAAGAAAACGGGAAAGAAAUAUAGGAGAAGAGGAAAAGUUGAAAAAGAGAAGAGGUGAAAAUGGGAAAAAGGGGGAGAUUAAAGGAGAAACUGAAGAAUAGGAGAGGAAAGAAAAAAAAACUGAAAGAAAGGAAAAGAAUUUUAAAAGAUUUAAAUGGGCAAACUUGAGGGAAGCAAAAAGACACGACAAGGUUAGAAGAGGAAAGAAAACGGGAAUAUAAGAGAAAAGAGGAAAAGUUAAAAGGACAAGAGGUUGAAAAGGACAAAGAAUUAGAGAGGAAAGAUGACAAGAGAAACUGAAGGAUAGAAGACGAGAGGAAAGACAAGAAGCCGACAAAGGAAAGAAAUAAGAGAAGAGAAAGGAUAAAAAAUUUAAAAAUCACAGUUGGGCAAGGAAAGGAUGUAAAGAGAAAUUAAAGGGUAGAAAAGGAAAGAAAGGAGAGAGGAAAUUAAAUAAAUGGCAAUAUGGGAGAGAAGAGGAAAGACAAAUGAAGAAAAAAGGUGGAAAAGGACAAAGGAGGAAUGGAAAUAAAGGAGGAAAAUGAAGGUUAAAAGAACAUAAAUUGAAAGAAAGGAAAGAGGGACAAAAGUAAGAUAAAAAGAAAAGAUGUAAGGAUAAAUAAAAGAGUAGAAGAGAAAAGAAAAUGAAAGGAGAGAGGAAUUUGAAUAAAAUGGAAUAUAAGAGAGAAGAGGAAAGAUAGAAAAGAUAGAAAAGGACAGAGAUAAGGAAAGGAAAAGAUAAAAGGAGAAAUUGAAGGUUAAUAGAGAAAAAAAUGGAAGAGAAAGGAUAAAGAAAAAGGCUGGAAAAGGGCAAAGGUGGAUGUAAGACAGGAAAGAUAAAGAGAAAUGAAAGGUUACAUGAGGAAAGAAAUGGAAAGAAAGGAGAGAAUAUGGAACAAAAGGAACAUAGGAUGGGAUAAAUGAAGAAAAAAGGUAGAAAAGGACAAAGAAGGAGGAAAGAAAACAAAGAUAAAAGAGGAAAUUGAAGGUCAGAAGAAGAGAGGAAAGAGAAGAAAGAAAUGAAAUAAAGGAGAGACAAUAGAAGAUAAGAAAGGUGGAAGGAAGGAAAGAUAAGAGGGAGAAAUGAAAUGUAGAUGAAGAAAGAAAAUAGGCACACAUAAGUGAAAAUGGACAAAGAAGAAUGAAAAGAAAGAAACAGGAGAGAAAAUGGAAUGAAACAGGAAAUAAAGAAUAGAGGAAUGAGAAGAGGAAAAGGAGAAGAAAUUAAAAGAAGAGAAGAGACAAAGUUGAAAAACAGGAGAGAAGGAUGGAAAAAGACAAAGAUAAAAGAAGAAAUGAAAGGUUAGAAGAGGAACAAAAUGAGAAAGAAAUAAAGUAGAAAAGAUUAAAAAAAGACAAAAGGUAAAAAUGAACAAAAAAACAGGACGAUGAAAGGAGAAAUUGGGGGAUAGAAGAGGAGAAAAAAGAUUAUAAAAAAGGAAAGGGAAAAGAAGUAUGGAAAAAUGAAAGAAAAGACAGGAAGAAGAAAGAAAAUCGGCAGUGAGGAAAAAAUGUGACAAAAGAGGACAGAUGAAAAGAAAAAAGUGAAAAUGGACAGAGUAAAGAUAGAAAAGAAAAAAGAAGUGAAAUCAUAGAAGAGGAAAGAAAUGAGCGAAAAUUGAAUGAAACAGAAAAUACAGAGUCAAAGAAAGAGGAAAGAAAUUAAAAGAAUGAAGACAAGAGAGAAGGUAAAAAAAAUAGGUGGAAAAGGACAGGGAAAAUAUAAAUGGGAGGAAAGAGAAAAGGUAAAAAAAAAGACAAAAGAUUGAAAAAGACAAAGAAUGAGAGAGGACAGAAAGGAAAAAGUGGAUGUAGGAGAGAAAAGGAAAGAAAAAGAUUAGUAAAGAUAGGAAGCAGAAACAGAAGAAGUAAAUAAAAGAUAAAUAGCUGCAUCAUCUGCGUAAAACUGCACAUUUAAUUUGCGGUAUAUCCUAGUAGCUUUAUUCUGUAACAUGUUUACUGGAUGUGAUUUAAUGUAUGUUUGACACAUUUCUGCACAGUAGAUCUGUAAAAACAGUGAGCAUUAUCAUGUUUAACUAUAUUUAGAAAAGGAAAAAGGAUGCACGGGAAAGCAAAGUUAGGAAAAAAGAAGAAAUUAAAGGGUAAAAGAUGAGAGGAAGAAAAGGAACUGAAUUAAAAGAAAUAUGAGACAAGUGGAAGAAAAAGAUAGAAUAGGAAAGAAAAGGGAGAAAUAAAAAGCUAGAAGAGGAAAGGAAAAGAAGAAAAAGAAAGGACAAAUUUGUAUGAAGGAAAGAAAAGAUAAAAAGGAGGAUAGCAAAGAAAAACCACGAGGGAAAUAAAGAAAUGGAAAGAUGAAAGGACAAGAGAAAGAAAAUGAAAGAUAAACAGAAAUUAAACAUCAAAAAUGUGAUGAAAUAAGAAAGUUGGGGAAUGAAAAUAAAAUAAAAAGUAGGAAUUAAAGCGUAAAAGAAAUGAGAGGAAAAUGGGAGAACAGAGGGUUGAAAAGGAAAAAAUAGAGGAAAAGAGAAAGAAAUGAAAGUA